GAACUUAAGCAUAUCAGUAAGCGGAGGAAAAGAAACUAACGAGGAUUCCCCCAGUAACGGCGAGUGAAGCGGGAACAGCCCAUGGUUGAAGAAAGACCUAUACUGGUAAUUCAAUGUACCGUGGAGAGCGAAAGGGGGAUAUGGAGUUGAUGGCAAGUUUCCUGGAACGGAACGGCAGAGAGGGUUAUACCCCCGUGGCCAUUGAAUCUUUAUUUUAUUUUUCACUCAUUGAGUCGGAUUGUUUGGGAAUGCAAUCCCAAUUGGGUGGUACGCGCCAUCUAAGGCUAAACAAGGGCAAGAGACCGAUAGCAAACAAGUACCGUGAGGGAAAGAUGAAAAGGACUCUGAAGAGAGAGUCAAAAGUGCGUGAAAUUGCAGCAAGGGAAACGAACGCGUUUAUUUUGAGAGGGGGUGGGUCGAGGGUUUUCAAGUUGGUGGAGGUAUGGACGCCUCGGCAUCCGACGUACAGCAUCAACAGGGAGACACUUGGGGCACUUGCUUUGUAUGAACGUGUUCGACCCGUCUUGAAACACGGACCAAGGAGUGCGACACGCGUGCGAGUCGUAGGGUGGCAAACCCUUUGGCGCAAAGAACAUGAUGAUUUUCUUAGCAAUUGUCUCGCGACAGUUGUGCUGGAAAGCCCUGCGCGCGUCACUCUUACGACGCGCGUCGAGGCAGAGCAGGCGUGUGGCGACCCGAAA
rnacentral:rRNA from 1 species